AACGAACGCUGGCGGCAUGCCUAACACAUGCAAGUCGAACGAAGCCUUCGGGCUUAGUGGCGCACGGGUGCGUAACGCGUGGGAAUCUGCCCUUUGGUUCGGAAUAACAGUUGGAAACGAGUGCUAAUACCGGAUGAUGACGAAAGUCCAAAGAUUUAUCGCCAGAGGAUGAGCCCGCGUAGGAUUAGCUAGUUGGUGUGGUAAAGGCGCACCAAGGCGACGAUCCUUAGCUGGUCUGAGAGGAUGAUCAGCCACACUGGGACUGAGACACGGCCCAGACUCCUACGGGAAGCAGCAGUGGGGAAUAUUGGACAAUGGGCGAAAGCCUGAUCCAGCAAUGCCGCGUGAGUGAUGAAGGCCCUAGGGUUGUAAAGCUCUUUUACCCGGGAUGAUAAUGACAGUACCGGGAGAAUAAGCCCCGGCUAACUCCGUGCCAGCCGCCGCGGUAA
rnacentral:rRNA from 1 species